UACGAAGGGGGCUAGCGUUGUUCGGAAUUACUGGGCGUAAAGCGCACGUAGGCGGACUAUUAAGUCAGGGGUGAAAUCCCGGGGCUCAACCCCGGAACUGCCUUUGAUACUGGUAGUCUCGAGUCCGGAAGAGGUGAGUGGAAUUCCGAGUGUAGAGGUGAAAUUCGUAGAUAUCGGGAGGAACACCAGUGGCGAAGGCGGCGACCUGGACGGACACUGACGCUGAGACGCGAAAGCGUGGGGAGCAAACAGG
rnacentral:rRNA from 1 species